ACUGAACCAAUCUCUGUGGCUGGGCUUUUGUGACCUCACUUGGCCUCUAAGGGUGCGCUGAUCUCCCAGAGGGAGAAACAUUUUAUCCUCGGCGUGGCCUACAUGGUUGAUAUGUUUGGAGAGAGAGAUUAUGAAGCAAAGAUGAAAAACUCUACCUAUUUCAAAAGUUGCUGACCCGCCAUCCAUCUGUGCUCUCCCAGGACAGUGAGAAAAAGGUUGACUGGAAUUGAUCCAGAAGAGCCCUGCCUGAGGCUUCCAGGCUGUGAGCUCCACGAAUCGGAAGGGGAAUCAUCCCACUUCCAGGCACGUCAGCAAAGUAUGUCUCAACCCCUGAUGGUGGCUGGUUGGUUAAUCUGCUCCCAGAACCGGGAGGAUUAGAGGAAGUGUUGCCAGGUCAGAGGUAAACAUUCUGGAGGCCCCGUCAAGAAGGCCUUACUGAGGUCACCUUGUGCAGCUCCUGAGAUCGGCCAUGCCCAGCGGGUGGGGAGCAGUGGUCGACGGUCGAAGGGCUUCAGAGCAGGACCAUCUGCUUUUCCUGCUCCCUGGCUUUCAGCCGCUCUGUUCCACCUGGAACUCAUCCACAGGGCGCUGUGGGAAAGGACUGAGCAUCAGAAGACCUGAACCUGGUCUCGACUCUGGGGCUGCCCAUCCUUCACACCCCAGUUCUGUCUCUGGAUCUAUGAAGAGCAUCUCCUGUCCUUCCCACCUACAGGAUCAUUAGGGAAUCAAAGAAGACGAUGUGUUAAGGGACUUUACACCUGCAUCACGUGAAACCGGGCAGACAGGUUAUUAUUACCUGCAUUUUAAAGAGAACUUUCAGGUUUUGAGUUUUAAAAUGGUUUCAUUAAGUCUAAUGAUGGCCAAAUGGCCCAUGGGAAGGAAAGAAACAUGGGGACACCAGGACUGUCCAGCCCCAUCAAGUGGCACCAUACGAAUAGGCACAGGUCCUUAGUAAGUCUUUCUACCUUCUGUGUCCCUCUGGGUCAGCGCUGCAGGAGGUGGGAAAGGGCAAGACCAGACUUGUGCUGGGAAAGAGAGAGGCAGGUGGGGAGGUCGCCACAGUGUCUGGCUGGGGGCAGGAUGCUCCUUGGGGCCCAGCCAGCCUCUGGGUCACUUCACAAAAGGUCACUGCACCUGCAUGGAGAAUUUUCCAGCUAUUAACAAAGCCACCGAGGCAGUGCGUCGGUAAAGCUCAGCCUCUAAUCCCCAAUUAAGGCACCGGGUCUU